GAACACAGCCCAGUAGGUCUCAGCCUUAUUUUACCCAGCCCCUUGGAGUUGCUCUGGUUCAAAUGCCUCUAACACUAGCUCACACUUGGCCUUUAGCAAUUCUUUAAACAUCUCUAGCAUAAUCUCCUUACCAGGUUUUUAUGGCAUUUGGCAGCAUCUGUUCUAGAGCUUCUGUCUGGUGCCAGUGUGAAGAAACACAGCUAGAGACCUGGUGAUGGGACUUAUUUUCUUAUUUCUGGAAAUGUUUCACCACCGAAAAAGCCACUGCAACCUGCUAUCUUAAAGCUACAGCACAUGUUGGGCGUAUUUCUCUUAUCUAAUAAAAUCAUAUGAUAGCACAUCA